rnacentral:rRNA from 1 species
GACCUAUCAGCUUUCGACGGUAUGGUAUUGGCAUACCGUGGCAGUGACGGUUAACGGGGGAUUAGGGUUCGAUUCCGGAGAGGGAGCCUGAGAAACGGCUACCACAUCUAAGGAAGGCAGCAGGCGCGCAAAUUACCCAAUUCUAAUAGCAAAAGAGAGGUAGUGACAAGAAAUAACAGUACAAGGCAGUUAAAAUGCUUUGUAAUUGGAAUGAUAGAAAUUUAAAUACUUUUUAAAGUAUCAAUUGGAGGGCAAGUCUGGUGCCAGCAGCCGCGGUAAUUCCAGCUCCAAUAGCGUAUAUUAAAAUUGUUGCAGUUAAAAAGCUCGUAGUUGAAUUUCUGCUAGAAAUAACCGGUUUGCUUUUAUUAAUAAAAGUGGUAUCUUGGUGUGUUUCUAGCAAUAAUGUUCUUUGAAAUGUUUUUUACUUAAUUGUAAAAAGCACAAUUCAGGAUUUUUACUUUGAGAAAAUUAGAGUGUUUC